GAUGAACGCUGGCGGCGUGCCUAAUACAUGCGAGUCGAGCGAACAGACGAGGAGCUUGCUCCUCUGACGUUAGCGGCGGACGGGUGAGUAACUCGUGGAUAACCUACCUAUAAGACUGGGAUAACUUCGGGAGACCGGAGCUAAUACCGGAUAAUAUAUUGAACCGCAUGGUUCAAUAGUGAAAGACGGUUUUGCUGUCACUUAUAGAUGGAUCCGCGCCGCAUUAGCUAGUUGGUAAGGUAACGGCUUACCAAGGCAACGAUGCGUAGCCGACCUGAGAGGGUGAUCGGCCACACUGGAACUGAGACACGGUCCAGACUCCUACGGGAGGCAGCAGUAGGGAAUCUUCCGCAAUGGGCGAAAGCCUGACGGAGCAACGCCGCGUGAGUGAUGAAGGUCUUCGGAUCGUAAAACUCUGUUAUUAGGGAAGAACAAAUGUGUAAGUAACUAUGCACGUCUUGACGGUACCUAAUCAGAAAGCCACGGCUAACUACGUG
rnacentral:rRNA from 1 species